UACGGGGGGGGUAAGCGUUGUUCGGAAUUACUGGGCGUAAAGGGCUCGUAGGCGGCCAACUAAGUCAGACGUGAAAUCCCUCAGCUUAACUGGGGAACUGCGUCUGAUACUGGAUGGCUUGGAUCCGGGAGAGGGAUGCGGAAUUCCAGGUGUAGCGGUGAAAUGCGUAGAUAUCAGGAGGAACACCGGUGGCGAAGGCGGGUCUCUGGGCCGAUACUGACGCUGAGGAGCGAAAGCGUGGGGAGCGAACAGG
rnacentral:rRNA from 1 species